rnacentral:rRNA from 1 species
UACGUAGGGUGCGAGCGUUGUCCGGAAUUAUUGGGCGUAAAGAGCUCGUAGGCGGUUUGUCGCGUCUGCUGUGAAAACCUAAGGCUCAACCUUGGGCUUGCAGUGGGUACGGGCAGACUAGAGUGCGGUAGGGGUGACUGGAAUUCCUGGUGUAGCGGUGGAAUGCGCAGAUAUCAGGAGGAACACCGAUGGCGAAGGCAGGUCACUGGGCCGCAAACUGACGCUGGAGGGAACGAAAAGCGUGGGGAGCGAACAGG